AGAGUUUGAUCCUGGCUCAGAUUGAACGCUGGCGGCAUGCCUAACACAUGCAAGUCGAACGGUAACAGGCCGCAAGGUGCUGACGAGUGGCGGACGGGUGAGUAAUACGUAGGUAUCUGCCCUGUAGUGGGGGAUAACCCGGGGAAACUCGGGCUAAUACCGCAUACGCUCUUUUAUCGUUGAGAUAGGAGAGGAAAGCGAGGGACCGAAAGGCCUCGCGCUAGAGGAUGAGCCUACGCCCGAUUAGCUAGUUGGUAGGGUAAAAGCCUACCAAGGCGACGAUCGGUAGCUGGUCUGAGAGGAUGGCCAGCCACACUGGGACUGAGACACGGCCCAGACUCCUACGGGAGGCAGCAGUGGGGAAUAUUGGACAAUGGGGGAAACCCUGAUCCAGCGAUGCCGCGUGGGUGAAGAAGGCCUGCGGGUUGUAAAGCCCUUUCAGUGGGGAAGAAAAACGGGGUGUGAACAGCGCUUCGUUUUGACGUUACCCACAGAAGAAGCACCGGCUAACUCCGUGCCAGCAGCCGCGGUAAUACGGAGGGUGCGAGCGUUAAUCGGAAUUACUGGGCGUAAAGGGCGCGUAGGCGGUUGGGUAAGUCGGGUGUGAAAGCCCUGGGCUUAACCUGGGAAUGGCAUUCGAGACUACCUAUCUAGAGUCUGGUAGAGGGAAGUGGAAUUUCCGGUGUAGCGGUGAAAUGUGUAGAUAUCGGAAGGAACACCAGUGGCGAAGGCGACUUCCUGGACCAAGACUGACGCUGAGGCGCGAAAGCGUGGGGAUCAAACAGGAUUAGAUACCCCGGUAGUCC
rnacentral:rRNA from 1 species